UACGUAGGGGCUAGGCGUUGUCCGGAAUCAUUGGGCGUAAAGAGCGCGUAGGCGGCCAGACAAGUCCGGUGUGAAAGUCACAGGCUCAACCUGUGAAUGCCGCUGGAAACUUUCUGGCUAGAGGUCCGGAAGGGCGAGUGGAAUUCCGCGUGUAGCAGUGAAAUGCGUAGAGAUGCGGAGGAACACCGAUGGCGAAGGCAGCCCCUGGGCUAGCACUGACGCUCAGGCACGAAAGCGUGGGAGCAAACAGG
rnacentral:rRNA from 1 species